rnacentral:rRNA from 1 species
UGGCCUUGACAUACUAAGAACUUUCCAGAGAUGGAUUGGUGCCUUCGGGAACUUAGAUACAGGUGCUGCAUGGCUGUCGUCAGCUCGUGUCGUGAGAUGUUGGGUUAACGUCCGCAACGAGCGCAACCCUUUUCCUUAUUUGCCAGCGGGUAAUGCCGGGAACUUUAAGGAUACUGCCAGUGACAAACUGGAGGAAGGCGGGGACGACGUCAAGUCAUCAUAGCCCUUACGGCCAGGGCUACACACGUGCUACAAUGGUCGGUACAAAGGGUUGCUACCUCGCGAGAGGAUGCUAAUCUCAAAAAGCCGAUCGUAGUCCGGAUCGCAGUCUGCAACUCGACUGCGUGAAGUCGGAAUCGCUAGUAAUCGCGGAUCAGAAUGCCGCGGUGAAUACGUUCCCGGGCCUUGUACACACCGCCCGUCACACCAUGGGAGUUUGUUGCACCAGAAGUAGGUAGUCUAACCGCAAGGAGGACGCUUACCACGGUGUGGCCGAUGACUGGGGUGAAGUCGUAACAAGGUAAGCGUAGAUGA